UACGUAGGGUGCGAGCGUUAAUCGGAAUUACUGGGCGUAGAGCGUGCGCAGGCGGUUUUGUAAGUCUGUCGUGAAAUCCCCGGGCUCAACCUGGGAAUUGCGAUGGAGACUGCAAGCUAGAAUCUGGCAGAGGGGGUAGAAUUCCACGUGUAGCAGUGAAAUGCGUAGAGAUGUGGAGGAACACCGAUGGCGAAGGCAGCCCCCUGGGUCAAGAUUGACGCUCAUUGCACGAAAAGCGUGGGG
rnacentral:rRNA from 1 species